GACGUAGGAGGCGAGCGUUAUCCGGAUUCAUUGGGCGUAAAGAGCUCGUAGGCGGCUUGUCACGUCGGGUGUGAAAGCCCGGGGCUUAACCCCGGGUCUGCAUUCGAUACGGGCUAGCUAGAGUGUGGUAGGGGAGAUCGGAAUUCCUGGUGUAGCGGUGAAAUGCGCAGAUAUCAGGAGGAACACCGGUGGCGAAGGCGGAUCUCUGGGCCAUUACUGACGCUGAGGAGCGAAAGCGUGGGGAGCGAACAGG
rnacentral:rRNA from 1 species